GCCCGUUAAUGGGUGAUAGCGUGCCUUUUGUAGAAUGAACCGGCGAGUUACGAUUUGUUGCAAGGUUAAGCGGAAAAAGCGGAGCCGUAGCGAAAGCGAGUCUGAAUAGGGCGCAUAAGUAACAGGUCGUAGACCCGAAACCAGGUGAUCUACCCAUGUCCAGGAUGAAGGUAAGGUAAUACUUACUGGAGGUCCGAACCCACGCACGUUGAAAAGUGCGGGGAUGAGGUGUGGGUAGCGGAGAAAUUCCAAUCGAACUUGGAGAUAGCUGGUUCUCUCCGAAAUAGCUUUAGGGCUAGCCUCGAGGUAAAGAGUCAUGGAGGUAGAGCACUGUUUGGACUAGGGGCCCUUCUCGGGUUACCGAAUUCAGAUAAACUCCGAAUGCCAUGUACUUAUACUCGGGAGUCAGACUGCGAGUGAUAAGAUCCGUAGUCGAAAGGGAAACAGCCCAGACCACCAGUUAAGGUCCCCAAAUAUAUGUUAAGUGGAAAAGGAUGUGGGGUUGCUUAGACAACCAGGAUGUUGGCUUAGAAGCAGCCACCAUUGAAAGAGUGCGUAAUAGCUCACUGGUCGAGUGACCCCGCGCCGAAAAUGUACCGGGGCUAAACAUAUUACCGAAACUGUGGAUGAACCUCUUUAGAGGUUCGUGGUAGGAGAGCGUUCUAAGGGCGGUGAAGUCAGACCGGAAGGACUGGUGGAGCGCUUAGAAGUGAGAAUGCCGGUAUGAGUAGCGAAAGAAGGGUGAGAAUCCCUUCCACCGAAUAUCUAAGGUUUCCUGAGGAAGGCUCGUCCGCUCAGGGUUAGUCGGGACCUAAGCCGAGGCCGAUAGGCGUAGGCGAUGGACAACAGGUAGAGAUUCCUGUACCAGUGCUAAUUGUUUAACCGAUGGGGUGACACAGAAGGAUAGGGAAUCGCACGAAUGGAAAUGUGCGUCCAAGCAGUGAGUGUGAGAAGUAGGCAAAUCCGCUUCUCGCGAAGCAUGAGCUGUGAUGGGGAAGGAAAUUAAGUACGGAAGUUCCUGAUU
rnacentral:rRNA from 1 species